GACAGAGGCCUCAAGCGUUAGGCGGAAUCACUGGGCUUAAAGCGUGUGUAGGCGGUCUUCUAAGUGCCUUGUGAAAUCCCACGGCUCAACCGUGGAACUGCUGGGCAUACUGGGAGUCUUGGGCCAUUCAGGGGCAACUGGAACAAGCGGUGGAGCGGUGAAAUGCGUAGAUAUCGCUGGGAACGCCGAAGGUGAAAACAGGUUGCUGGGGAUGUGCCGACGCUGAGACACGAAAGCCAGGGGAGCAAACGGG
rnacentral:rRNA from 1 species